rnacentral:rRNA from 1 species
GACGAACGCUGGCGGCGUGCUUAACACAUGCAAGUCGAACGAAGAGCGAUGGAAGCUUGCUUCUAUCAAUCUUAGUGGCGAACGGGUGAGUAACGCGUAAUCAACCUGCCCUUCAGAGGGGGACAACAGUUGGAAACGACUGCUAAUACCGCAUACGAUCUAAUCUCGGCAUCGAGGAUAGAUGAAAGGUGGCCUCUACAUGUAAGCUAUCACUGAAGGAGGGGAUUGCGUCUGAUUAGCUAGUUGGAGGGGUAACGGCCCACCAAGGCGAUGAUCAGUAGCCGGUCUGAGAGGAUGAACGGCCACAUUGGGACUGAGACACGGCCCAGACUCCUACGGGAGGCAGCAGUGGGGAAUCUUCCGCAAUGGACGAAAGUCUGACGGAGCAACGCCGCGUGAGUGAUGACGGCCUUCGGGUUGUAAAGCUCUGUUAAUCGGGACGAAAGGCCUUCUUGCGAAUAGUGAGAAGGAUGA